rnacentral:rRNA from 1 species
GUCUACGGCCAUGCCACCAUGAACGUGCCCAAUCGUGUCUGAUCUCGGAAGCUAAGCAGGGUCAGUUAGUACUUGGAUGGAGGAGGACCACCUAGGAAUAUCAGGUGUUGUAGGUG